UACGAAGGGUGCAAGCGUUACUCGGAAUUACUGGGCGUAAAGCGUGCGUAGGUGGUUGUUUAAGUCUGUUGUGAAAGCCCUGGGCUCAACCUGGGAAUUGCAGUGGAUACUGGGCGACUAGAGUGUGGUAGAGGGUAGUGGAAUUCCCGGUGUAGCAGUGAAAUGCGUAGAGAUCGAAGGAACGCCCGUGGCGAAAGCGAGCCCCUGGACGUCUACUGACGCUGAGACGCGAAAGCCAGGGGAGCGAACGGG
rnacentral:rRNA from 1 species